GCUGCGAUGGCCGAGUGGUUAAUGCGUUCGACUCGAAAUCCAAUGGGAUAUUCCCGCGCAGGUUCGAAUCCUGUUCGCAACG
rfam:Ciona savignyi cont_5634, whole genome shotgun sequence.